rnacentral:rRNA from 1 species
GACGAACGCUGGCGGCGUGCCUAAUACAUGCAAGUUGAGCGCUGAAGGUUGGUACUUGUCCCAACUGGAUGAGCAGCGAACGGGUGAGUAACGCGGGGGGAAUCUGCCUUUGAGCGGGGGACAACAUUUGGAAACGAAUGCUAAUACCGCAUAAAAACUUUAAACACAAGUUUUAAGUUUGAGAGAUGCAAUUGCAUCACUCAAAGAUGAUCCCGCGUUGUAUUAGCUAGUUGGUGAGGUAAAGGCUCACCAAGGCGAUGAUACAUAGCCGACCUGAGAGGGUGAUCGGCCACAUUGGGACUGAGACACGGCCCAAACUCCUACGGGAGGCAGCAGUAGGGAAUCUUCGGCAAUGGACGAAAGUCUGACCGAGCAACGCCGCGUGAGUGAAGAAGGUUUUCGGAUCGUAAAACUCUGUUGGUAGAGAAGAACGUUGGUGAGAGUGGAAAGCUCAUCAAGUGACGGUAACUACCCAGAAAGGGACGGCUAACUACGUG